GCUUGCUGGGUACUCGAGUGGCGAACGGGUGAGUAACACGUGGGUGAUCUGCCCUGAACUUUGGGAUAAGCCUGGGAAACUGGGUCUAAUACCGGAUAUGACCUUGGAGUGCAUGCUCUGGGGUGGAAAGCUUUUGCGGUUCAGGAUGGGCCCGCGGCCUAUCAGCUUGUUGGUGGGGUAAUGGCCUACCAAGGCGACGACGGGUAGCCGACCUGAGAGGGUGAUCGGCCACACUGGGACUGAGACACGGCCCAGACUCCUACGGGAGGCAGCAGUGGGGAAUAUUGCACAAUGGGCGCAAGCCUGAUGCAGCGACGCCGCGUGAGGGAUGACGGCCUUCGGGUUGUAAACCUCUUUCACCAGGGACGAAGCGCAAGUGACGGUACCUGGAGAAGAAGCACCGGCCAACUACGUGCCAGCAGCCGCGGUAAUACGUAGGGUGCGAGCGUUGUCCGGAAUUACUGGGCGUAAAGAGCUCGUAGGCGGUUUGUCGCGUCGUCUGUGAAAUUCUGCAACUCAAUUGUAGGCGUGCAGGCGAUACGGGCAGACUUGAGUACUACAGGGGAGACUGGAAUUCCUGGUGUAGCGGUGAAAUGCGCAGAUAUCAGGAGGAACACCGGUGGCGAAGGCGGGUCUCUGGGUAGUAACUGACGCUG
rnacentral:rRNA from 1 species